GCUGACGGUGUAUUGCCACAACGAGUGAUCAACGUUUACUGCGUGGACUACCAGGGUAUCUAAUCCUGUUCGCUCCCCACGCUUUCGUGCCUGAGCGUCAGUGCCUGUUUGGUAAGCUGCCUUCGCAAUCGGUGUUCUGUACUAUAUCUAAGCAUUUCACCGCUACAUACUACAUUCCGCCUACCUCACCUGGACUCAAGGUGAGCAGUAUCAAAGGCAAUUCCACAGUUAAGCUGCGGGCUUUCACCUCUGACUUACCCACCCGCCUGCGCGCGCUUUAUACCCAAUGAAUCCGGAUAACGCUUGCUUCCUCCGUAUUACCGCGGCUGCUGGCACGGAGUUAGCCGAUGCUUAUUCCUGCUCUAGCGUCAAAGCCGUACACGUACGACUGUUUCUUGAAGCAGAACAGAAGUUUACAACCCAUAGGGCCGUCAUCCUUCACUCGGCAUGGCUGCGUCAGAGUUUCCUCCAUUGCCCAAUAUUCCACACUGCUGCCUCCCGUA
rnacentral:rRNA from 1 species